rfam:Geofilum rubicundum JCM 15548 DNA, contig: JCM15548.contig00010.
UGUCGUCGGGUAAGUCCUGUACGACCAGCUCCUGCUGAACUCCUCCAGGGUCUGACGACAGCAAAGGUAGGCGGUCGAAGCGGUGCGAUACAGAUAGCUUACCCACCC